rnacentral:lncRNA from 1 species
GUUGAUAUCAUGCACGUGUUCUUCAAUAUCAAGCAUUUGGUCACAAUUAUUCUCAAUAACGUUGCCUUUGGUUUCAAGGUCAUGGCUUUCAAUCUCCAGGUCAUUUCCCUCGAUUUCAAGGCCACUUCCUUCAAUCUCAAGGCCAUUUCCCUCGAUUUCAAGUUCAUUGCCUUCAAUCUCUAGGUUAUUGCUAUCAAAUUCCAGAUCAUCAUCUUCCUCCUCAAGCAUUUGCUCACUGUUC